GACGAACGCUGGCGGCGUGCCUAAUACAUGCAAGUCGAGCGGACGAAUCGAAAGCUUGCUUUUGAUUCGUUAGCGGCGGACGGGUGAGUAACACGUGGGCAACCUGCCCUGUAGACGGGGAUAACACCGAGAAAUCGGUGCUAAUACCGGAUAACACGAAAUGUCGCAUGACGUUUCGUUGAAAGACGGCGCAAGCUGCCGCUACAGGAUGGGCCCGCGGCGCAUUAGCUAGUUGGUGAGGUAACGGCUCACCAAGGCGACGAUACGUAGCCGACCUGAGAGGGUGAUCAGCCACACUGGGACUGAGACACGGCCCAGACUCCUACGGGAGGCAGCAGUAGGGAAUCUUCCGCAAUGGACGAAAGUCUGACGGAGCAACGCCGCGUGAGCGAAGAAGGCCUUCGGGUCGUAAAGCUCUGUUGUUAGGGAAGAACAAGUAACGCAGUAACUGGCGUUACCGUGACGGUACCUAACGAGAAAGCCACGGCUAACUACGUG
rnacentral:rRNA from 1 species